GACGAACGCUGGCGGCGUGCUUAACACAUGCAAGUCGAACGGAAAGGCCCUGCUUUUGUGGCGUGCUCGAGUGGCGAACGGGUGAGUAACACGUGAGUAACCUGCCCUUGACUUUGGGAUAACUUCUGGAAACUGUGUCUAAUACCGGAUAGGAGCUCCUGCUGCAUGGUGUGGGUUGGAAAGUUUCGGCGGUUGGGGAUUGACUCGCGGCUUAUCAGCUUGUUGGUGGGGUAGUGGCUUACCAAGGCUUUGACGGGUAGCCGGCCUGAGAGGGUGACCGGCCAAAUUGGGACUGAGAUACGGCCCAGACUCCUACGGGAGGCAGCAGUGGGGAAUAUUGCACAAUGGGCGGAAGCCUGAUGCAGAAACGCGGCGUGAGGGAUGACGGCCUUCGGGUUGUAAACCGCUUUCGACAGGGAAGAAGCGUGAGUGACGGUAAUGGGAAAAGAAGCACCGGCUAACUACGUG
rnacentral:rRNA from 1 species